rnacentral:ncRNA from 1 species
AGGUGAGCUCAAUGAGAAUAGAAAUCUCAUGUAGAACAAAAGGGGAAAAGCUCACUUGAUUUUGAUUUUCAGUAUGAAAUACAAAUUAAAU